rnacentral:lncRNA from 1 species
UAGACCACACAUCAAAGAUUUUCACUCAAGUUUACAACAUAAAACUUGUAGGGUUUAACUUAGGGUUUCAAACAAAACUGAUUUUACAUUUUUAUGAACUUCCUACAAGAAUCUAUAAAAUGUAGAAGUUCAUUGAUUUGAAACAAAGAAGAUUUUGGAAACUUUACAGAGAACACCCUAGAACUUCUAAAACAUAGCAAUCAAGUCCCUGGUCCGGGAAAACAGAUAACAGGAAGAUAACGACGAUAUUCCGGCAAAGGAAUCGUCGGCAUUAAGAAGAUUCAGUAGGUCAGGGCAAACCUUGGUUGUGGAGAAGAAUGGGCGGAAAGUAAUUCCCCGUGGUGAACAAGAUUGGCGAUGAAAAGUGCUCGAUGAGGGGGUUCAUGAGCUAUCUUGAGGUGUCGAGGUCUUGUUCGGACGAUCGACGAGGGAAAGGAGUUGCUGGAUGUCGUGGAUCAUGGGACGAGACGAUGGAGCCGAACGGGUUCGCUAUACCGACUUUUCCGCGAACCCUAGGGUUUUCCUGCUCACGAGCUGAGUCGGCCACCAGUAGAAUGCUUCUGCUCCAUACUCGCGGAUGCGCUAGUCCAAUUCAGUCCGGACGUCCGCCUUGUUUAGCC